GAAAGGGCAGAGGGGAGAUUGAAAGUAGAUGUUAGGAAAGGGUUCUUUGCAGUGAGGGUGGUGAGACACUGGCACAGGUUGCCCAGAGAGGUUGUGGAGCACAGAAUCACCCAAUGUGAUCAAAGAGGUGCUCAAGGCCAGGUUGGAUGAGUCCUUGGGCGACCUGUUCUAGUGGGAGGUGCCUAUGGCAGGUGGUUGGAACUGGAUGAUCUUUGAGGUCCCUUCCUACCUAACCCAUUCUGUGAUUCAUUCCAGGCCUUUUUCAAGGGGAGAUGGCAGAUCCAUUGUGAGUCCUGCCUGAGCAGUUCCCAGGUGCGUGUUAAAGAGAAUACAGCUGCCUUGCUCUUCUGUGUCCCGUAUGUUCAGAUGGUUUUGUUGUGCAGAAGAGUGUGUUUGGAGAGUUGAUGCACACAUUGUAUUGUCUAGAAUUAUUCCUUGUGUGAGGCAAACCCAUUCCAUCUGGGUCAUUUCCUUCAGAGUCCCAAGGACACUUGACUGCAUGCUGCUGUGGUUUGGUCCUUUGUGCAGAUUGGUGCUUCCCUCAAUACAGAGUUUAUCCUCUCUAGGAAAAACAUCUUUAUAAAGACCAAGUUCUGCUUAGACCCUUGGAAAUUAAUUUUGCACAAUUUGUAGCAGCUGUGUCUCUGAUAUUUUUGACAUCUCUUCAACCCAGCUGCCAUUUUAAGCAGGUGGAAACAAUACUUCUGGUGUUUUCCCUGGGAACCGGACUGUAGAAGUAUUUAAAGAGCUUCUUCUCACACUUUGGGUUUUGAACAAUAGUCCUGACAUCGUCCAGGAUAGCAGCAUGAAUGACUGACUAUGUGAGGAGCUUGCAUGGAGAGGACUUCAAACGUCACUGCAAACCUUAAGCAGUGCAGUGUCCCUUCCAGAUGAGUCAGCCACUGCAAACCGGAGGCAGAAGAAAGGAAGAGGGCAAGGAUCUUCUCGCCAUCAUGUGAUGCUGGCACUGGCUUGGAUUUUGGCUCUAGUCUGUGUCCCAAUCUGUUUCAAGAAUUUGUUCAGUUUUGAGGCAAAUUGUUUAAUCUCUUUGCUUUUUAAA